AGCAGCCGCGGUAACACCGGCGGCCCGAGUGGUGAUCGUGAUUAUUGGGUCUAAAGGGUCCGUAGCCGGUUUGGUCAGUCCUCCGGGAAAUCUGAUAGCUCAACUAUUAGGCUUUCGGGGGAUACUGCCAGACUUGGAACCGGGAGAGGUAAGAGGUACUACAGGGGUAGGAGUGAAAUCUUGUAAUCCCUGUGGGACCACCUGUGGCGAAGGCGUCUUACCAGAACGGGUUCGACGGUGAGGGACGAAAGCUGGGGGCACGAACCGGAUUAGAUACCCGGGUAGUCCCAGCCGUAACGAUGCUCGCUAGGUGUCAGGCAUGGCGCGACCGUGUCUGGUGCCGCAGGGAAGCCGUGAAGCGAGCCACCUGGGAAGUACGGCCGCAAGGCUGAAACUUAAAGGAAUUGGCGGGGGAGCACAACAACGGGGUUGGAGCCUGCGGUUUAAUUGGACUCAACGCCGGACAACUCACCGGGGGCGACAGCAAUAUGUAGGCCAAGCUGAAGACUUUGCCUGAAUCGCUGAGAGGAGGUGCAUGG
rnacentral:rRNA from 1 species